ACGCUCGACACCUACGGGGGGCAGCAGUGGGGAAUAUUGCACAAUGGGGGAAACCCUGAUGCAGCAACGCCGCGUGAAGGAAGACGGUUUUCGGAUUGUAAACUUCUGUUCUUAGUGAAAAUAGUGACGGUAGCUAAGGAGCAAGCCACGGCUAACUACGUGCUAGCAGCCGCGGUAAUCUGAGCGGGCUGGCAAGGC
rnacentral:rRNA from 1 species